CCGUUUCGCUGUUCGCGCCAUAUCUUAUCCAAUCCAAAUGUCUCAUCUUUAACCUCCAAAGUCCGAAGCUUUGAUCCUUAUCCAGUUCUCCUUCAAUGGCAGAAGGCCUAGAGAAGGACGUCAUGACCACCGCGACUAGGAGGGUGGCCUCCAUCGCCAACCACCUCAUUCCGGCCCAUUUAUCUCCCGGCUCCGCCGCAAUUUCUCUCUCCAACGCCUCCAUGAACGACAGCUACCACCGCACCCACGGCGAGGUCUCGACUCACCGAGUUAUUUGGGAAAAUGCUCGCGACGUUUCCGGCGAUGAAUUCACUGAUAUUAUAUACGAGAAAGCCGUCGGCGAAGCCAUUGCAAAGGUUACGAUUAAUAGACCGGAUAGAAGAAAUGCGUUCCGGCCGCAGACUGUGAAGGAGCUGAUUCGCGCGUUUAAUGAUGCCAGGGACGACGGCUCCAUAGGCGUCGUCAUUCUUACCGGGAAGGGAACCAAAGCAUUCUGCAGUGGCGGUGAUCAGGCCUUGAGAGGAAAAGAUGGUUAUUCUGAUUACGAUGAUUUUGGCCGUCUUAAUGUGUUAGAUUUGCAGGUCCAGAUUCGACGUCUUCCAAAGCCAGUAAUAGCCAUGGUGGCUGGUUAUGCUGUUGGGGGAGGACAUGUAUUGCACAUGGUCUGUGAUCUAACCAUUGCAGCAGACAAUGCUAUUUUUGGUCAGACCGGUCCUAAGGUUGGAAGCUUUGACGCUGGUUAUGGGAGUUCCAUCAUGUCCCGUUUGGUCGGGCCUAAAAAAGCACGAGAAAUGUGGUUUAUGGCAAGGCUUUACACAGCUGCUGAAGCAGAGAAAAUGGGACUUGUUAACACUGUUGUACCACUGGAGACUUUAGAGCAAGAAACGGUUAAAUGGUGUCGAGAAAUGCUAAGAAACAGCCCAACCGCGCUUCGGGUGCUGAAGUCUGCUCUUAAUGCAGUUGACGACGGUCAUGCUGGACUGCAGCAACUUGCUGGAGAUGCCACGCUCUUAUUCUAUGGCACUGAGGAAGGUAACGAGGGGAAGACGGCUUAUAUGCAGCGCAGACGUCCAGAUUUCUCAAAGUUUCCCAGGAGACCUUAAUGCUGAGCACUUUCCCAGCAGACUAGGACCCCUUGUCGGAUAAAUGGUUUGGUUUUGAAGUUCAGACGUUGUUGGAGAGGAGAAUAGAUUUAUGGCUGAUUUCACUUUUUUGAUCUUCAGUACAACGGUAAUGACAGAAGCUGUUGCAAUACGUGCUGCGAUGCUGGUGCGUAUUGAGUUGGGAUGUCAGGAUGUGGAGGUUGAAUCAGAUUCUCAAAUGCUCAUUCGAAUGCUUAAUGGGGAAUAUGCGGUUGAUGCUACUUUGGAGUGCUUUAUUAAUGAUAUUGGGUUGUUGGUAUCUCAAUUAGGAAGGGUGAGGUUUUUAUUUGUUAAGCGGGAUGGAAAUGCCGUUGUUCACGCUGUGGUCUCAUAUGUUGUCUCACAUGAAGAUGCUUUUCGUUGGGAUGCUUUGGUCUGGAGUUUUUAUUUAAUAUUCUAGCGAUGUAAACGUUUCUAUUCGUA